rnacentral:rRNA from 1 species
CCUACGGGUGGCAGCAGUCGAGAAUCAUUCACAAUGGGGGAAACCCUGAUGGUGCGACGCCGCGUGGGGGAAUGAAGGUCUUCGGAUUGUAAACCCCUGUCAUGUGGGAGCAAAUUAAAAAGAUAGUACCACAAGAGGAAGAGACGGCUAACUCUGUGCCAGCAGCCGCGGUAAUACAGAGGUCUCAAGCGUUGUUCGGAAUCACUGGGCGUAAGGCGUGCGUAGGCUGUUUCGUAAGUCGUGUGUGAAAGGCGCGGGCUCAACCCGCGGACGGCACAUGAUACUGCGAGACUAGAGUAAUGGAGGGGGAACCGGAAUUCUCGGUGUAGCAGUGAAAUGCGUAGAUAUCGAGAGGAACACUCGUGGCGAAGGCGGGUUCCUGGACAUUAACUGACGCUGAGGCACGAAGGCCAGGGGGGCGAAAGGGAUUAGAUACCCGGGUAGUC